rnacentral:rRNA from 1 species
GCCUACGGGACGCAGCAGUAGGGAAUCUUCCACAAUGGACGAAAGUCUGAUGGAGCAACGCCGCGUGAGUGAAGAAGGGUUUCGGCUCGUAAAGCUCUGUUGGUAGUGAAGAAAGAUAGAGGUAGUAACUGGCCUUUAUUUGACGGUAAUUACUUAGAAAGUCACGGCUAACUAUGUGCCAGCAGCCGCGGUAAUACGUAGGUGGCAAUCGUUGUCCGGAUUUAUUGGGCGUAAAGCGAGUACAGGCGGGUUCAA